UUUAGGAUUUGGUUAGGAUUUGGUUUAGGAUUUAGGGUUUGGAUUAGGGUUUGAUUUAGGGUUUAGGAUUUAGGAUUUGGAUUAGGAUUUGGUUAGGGUUUUAUUUAAGAUUUAGAGUUUGGUUAAGGUUUGAUUUAAGAUUUAGGAUUUAGAGUUUGGUUAGGGUUUGAUUAGGAUUUAAUUUAGGAUUUAGAAUUUAGGAUGUGGUUAGGAUUUUAUUUAGGAUUUAAGAUUUGAUUAGGAUUUGAUUUAGGGUUUAGGAUUUAGUUAGGGUUUGAUUUAAGAUUUAGGAUUUGGAUUAAGGUUUGGUUUAGGAUUUAGAAUUUGGAUUAGGAUUUGAUUAGGAUUUGGUUUAGGAUUUGGUUGUGGUUUGAUUUAAGGUUUGUUUAGGGUCUGAUUAAGGGUUUAGGAUUUUAUUAAAAUCUAAGAUUCAAUUAGUUUUGGCCUAAAGUUUGAAUGAAGUUCAAUAGGAUUUUAACUAGAAUUAAAUUAAGAUUGAAUUGAGAUAUAUUUGAGUGAUAUUUGUGAUCUUUCUAAUAUUUCUUUAAGAAUUCUUAUUAUUUGUUUAAAAUUUAUUUGAGUUUUUUUUAAAUUUGAUUAAGCUUGCUUAGCAUUAUUAUGAUUUAAUUAGAGCAUUGUUAGUAUUCUAUUAGAAUUAGGAUUUUGUUACUACAAUUUCUAUUCUUCCUUCCACAGUCAAGUGUCCGCAGCAUUCUCAAGCAAGACUUUACGUAUUACGACAGUGUCGGUCACAUAGUUAGCUUGGUCUUUAAGUUAACAA
rnacentral:lncRNA from 1 species